rnacentral:misc_RNA from 1 species
GUAUUUUGAAUUGUUUAUUCAUAAUAUUUUUCAGACAAAGAGUUAAAAGAUAAAGGUUGAUGUUUGGUCGAUCUCCAAGAAGAAGAUCGACUGACAUUGCACACAAGGUGGAUAUGGAUUUUUAAAAAGUGCCAUAAAACACUUUAUUAUGAAUGAUCCUUCCGCAGGUUCACCUACGGAAA